rnacentral:snRNA from 1 species
GUGCUCGCUUCAGCAGCACAUGUACUAAAAUUGAAACGAUACAGAGAUUAGCAUGUCUCCUGCGCAAAAGAAAAAAGAAAAAAACCUGGGACUCAACAGUAACGU